GACGAACGCUGGCGGCGUGCUUAACACAUGCAAGUCGAACGGGUCUGCCCUGUUUUUUGCGGGGUGGGUCAGUGGCGAACGGGUGAGUAACACGUGAGUAACCUGCCCCUCACUUCUGGAUAACCGCUUGAAAGGGUGGCUAAUACGGGGUGUUCUGGCUGUGCCGCAUGGUGUGGCUGGGAAAGAUUCACUUUUGUGGUGUUUUGGUGGGGGAUGGGCUCGCGGCCUAUCAGCUUGUUGGUGGGGUGAUGGCCUGCCAAGGCUUUGACGGGUAGCCGGCCUGGGAGGGUGGGCGGUCACACUGGGACUGAGAUACGGCCAGGACUCCUGCGGGAGGCAGCAGUGGGGGGUAUUGCACAAUGGGCGGAAGCCUGAUGCAGCGACGUCGCGUGAGGGAUGGAGGCCUUCGGGUUGUGAACCUCUUUCGCCGGUGAAGAAGGUCCUGCUCUUUGUGGUGGGGUUGACGGUAGCCGGGUUAUGAAGCGCCGGCUAACUACGUG
rnacentral:rRNA from 1 species